AUACACACCGGCGGGAUGGGUGGAUUCGUUUUUCCCCUGCUCGGUGGAUUUGGAUUUUCUCAUGCUAGAAUUCUGUCACUUUUGUGCUUGCAGUGCGCGCGCGAGCCUCACCAAGUAUGUGGUCAAUGGUUUAAUUUGGGCUAGAUCAUUCAUCUGGCAUCCCAUCUAGACACUGACCAUCCAGCCAAGGGGUGGUGUUCUUGCUAUUGCCAGAUAGGAAAAACAUAGGAGCCAUGGUGUUUUGCUUGCUUCCUGCUAUUACUGGCCUCCAGUAAUAAUGCACUGCUAUCACACUUGAUUAUCAUAGCUUGGUGGGCAUGCACGCGGUGUCAACGUGAAUGGUGCGGUGGUCGUGCUCGCCGCGGUGGCCGUGGUUAGCAUGGAGGCCUGCGGUGGUCGGCGUGGUGGCUGUACAAAACACGUGCACGUGCUAUGACAUGAUGCGCGAGCCUCACCGUGCAGUGCCGCAAGGGUGUGUCCGAUCGAUGGAGCGAGGACAUCACGAAGAGAUAAAAUUAUACACUAUGAAUAUUAUUAUUGGUUGUUAGGUUUUUUUACAGUUGAUUUUUUACUCCUGUAGCAACAUAGGGUCACUCACCUAUUGAUUAAAAAAAUCGCUACACGGCAGAACCAGGAGGGCUUCCAGCUAAGAUUUGGCGAAAAACAUUGUGUCCUACCCGGAG